rnacentral:rRNA from 1 species
UGUAAGCGUAUACCAAAGUUGUUGCAGUUAAAACGCUCGUAGUCGGAAUUUGGCAGUUCCGAAUGUGUGCACGUCGUGUGCGCACUUCGCGGGGAUUGCUUUUGUGGUCUUGCGUAGGAUGAGGCACUUUUAUUAGUGAACGUCCUCACGCAACCACUUUUUACUGUGAAAAAAUCAGAGUGCUCAAAGCAGGCAUUUGCCGUGAAUGUAUUAGCAUGGAAUAAUAGAAUAGGACUUGGUUCUAUUUUGUUGGUUUGUUGGGACUGAGUAAAGAUUAAGAGGGACAGUUGGGGGCAUUUGUAUUUCGGUGCUAGAGGUGAAAUUCUUAGAUUACCGAAAGACAAACUGCUGCGAAAGCGUCUGCCAAGGAUGUUUUCAUUGA